CACCGCCCGUCACGUCAUGAAAGUCAGAAACGCCUGAAGUCGGUGAGCCAACCUUCGGGAGGCAGCUGCCGAGGGCGGAGCUGGCGAUUGGGACG
rnacentral:rRNA from 1 species